GACGAACGCUGGCGGCGUGCUUAACACAUGCAAGUCGAACGGAAAGGCCCUGCUUUUGUGGGGUGCUCGAGUGGCUAACGGGUGAGUAACACGUGAGUAACCUGCCCUUGACUUUGGGAUAACUUCAGGAAACUGGGGCUAAUACCGGAUAGGAGCUCCUGCUGCAUGGUGUGGGUUGGAAAGUUUCGGCGGUUGGGGAUGGACUCGCGGCUCAUCAGCUUGUUGGUGGGGUAGUGGCUUACCAAGGCUUUGACGGGUAGCCGGCCUGAGAGGGUGACCGGCCACAUUGGGACUGGGAUACGGCCCAGACUCCUACGGGAGGCAGCAGUGGGGAAUAUUGCACAAUGGGCGGAAGCCUGAUGCAGCAACGCCGCGUGCGGGAUGACGGCCUUCGGGUUGUAAACCGCUUUCGCCUGUGACGAAGCGUUAGUGACGGUAAUGGGUAAAGAAGCACCGGCUAACUACGUG
rnacentral:rRNA from 1 species